UGUUAAAGAUUUCAUCCAUUUGUCCUAUUAAAAACUGGGUGGCUGACAGAAUAACCAAAUAGUAAUAUGUAGCAUGUCACGUGUUCCUCAUGCUGGCGUACAGUAACUAAUUUUUACAGUAGAAAUGGAUAGAAUUUUUAAUA
rfam:Gossypium hirsutum cultivar TM-1 chromosome 12, whole genome shotgun sequence